AUGAUGGGGAUGAGAACAGGGAUGUGGAUGAGGAUGCGGAUGAUGGGAAUGGGGACAGAGGACAGGGAUGAGAAUGAAGAUGGGGAGAGGAUGGGACUGGGAGAUGGGGACGAGGAUGAGGCCAGGGAUGGAAGGGAGAUGAUAGGGAUAGAGGUUAGAGAUGGGGAUGAGAAUGGGGAUAGGGGAGAGAUAAGUGUGAGAAUAGAGAUGGGGGAUAGGGACAAGGAUGGGGCUGGGAUGAUGGAGAGGGGGACAGGAAUGAGGAUAGGGAUCCAUGGGACAGGGAUAGGGAUGGGAAAAAAGAUGAGCAUAAGGAUGGGGGUGGGGAAGAAGCUGGGGAGAGAGAAAGGGGAUAAGGAUAAAGAUGGGAUCGGGGCAGGAACGGGGAUGGGGAGUGGGGAUGCUGAGGGCAGGACAAGGGGUGACAGUGCCCAGCCUUGCUGGGGCUGUGCCAGGAGGCCCCCCCCCCCCCCCCCCCCCCCCCCCCCCCCCCCCCCCCCCCCCCCCCCCCCCCCCCCCCCCCCCCCCCCCCCCCCCCCCCCCCCCCCCGGGGAGUGGGGAAUGGGGAGUGGGGAGUGGGGACGAGCCGGGAUAGGGAUGAGGACGGGGUCGGACACAGGGCCGGGGUCGGACACAGUGCUGGGGUGGGACACAGAACCGGGCCCGGUGCCGGUGCCGGUGCCGGUGCCGGCGGCGCUCGGCGGCCCCCCCCCGGGGCCGGUGCCGGCGGCGCUCGGCGGGUUAAGCCGCGCGCUGCCGCCAUUGGCGGAGCGCAGAGCGGCCGUAGCCAAUGGGGACGGGCCGUGCGCACCGGGCCUGCCCCACACCCCGUCCCGGGGCGGAUCGGGGCGGUUCGGCCGCGUUCGGCCCGGGUCGGAACCGUUCGGCUGCGCUCGGACCGGGCUCGGCUCCGCUCGGUUCAGCUCGGCGAGGAUCGGGAAGGUUCGGCUCCGUUCGGGCUCGACUCGGCUCUGCUCGGCUGAGCUCGGGGCGGAUCGGGGAGCUUCGGCCCGGCCCGGUUCGGCCCGGCUUGGUUCGGCGCGGCCCGCUCGGCUUUCUUCGGCCUCGCUCGGCUCAGUUCGUUUUCGGUUCGGCUCCGCUGGGAUUCUCUCGGUUCGGCUCCGCUUGACUCUGUCCGGUUCGGUUCGUCUGGGCCCGGCCCUGCCCGGUCGCCGCCGCAUCGGGCCCGGUAACGCUCCGACCUCAUUCCCGGUCCGGGCCCGAGCCCAGCCCCGGCAACGCCCCGGGAGGAGGGGGGUGGGAGGCAGCGAGCAUCCUCCGCCGCUCCGUCCGCAGCACGGCCCUGUACGGGACCGGGGGGCGGGGGAUCCUGGCCGGGGGGAGCAGGCAGGAGCCCCGGGCCCGACGUGCCCCGGGUGGGCCGUGACAGUGGGGACAUGUCGUGACAGCGGAGACAGAGCCACCCGCACCGUGACCUGGGUGGGCAGUGACCCAGGGACAGACACCCUGCGACACCAGGGGACAGAACCCCCCCCAGCUGUGACACUGAGGGACCGCCGGGGCACAGAGCCACUCCGUGUCGUGACACCGGGGGACCACAGCUUCGGCAGGCAAUGA
ensembl:lncRNA